rnacentral:tRNA from 1 species
CGGGACAUGGCGCAGCUUGGUCAGCGCAUCCGCUUUGGGAGCGGAGGGCCGUCAGUUCGAAUCUGACUGUCCCGAC